GGUUUGCUGAAGAGAAGGGAUACAAGGCAGCUACAUCUUGAUGGCAGUCUUGGUGCAGUUACUGGGGCUGGUUUUCUGAAGAAAAGGGAUACAAGGCAGCUACAUCUUGAUGGCAGUCUUGGUGCAGUUACUGGGGCUGGUUUUAGGAAAAAUAGGGUUACAAGGCAACUACAUCUUGAUGGCAGUCGUGGUGAAGUUACUGGGGCAGCUUUAUAGUGAAUGCUUCUACUCUGCUAUCGCAACCAAAAAUUGCAUUGACGUUUGAUGGAAGACUGCAAGAAAACAACUAAGCCUGCUGCUGUGUUCUCCUGCUACACUGUAACAUUACUGUAACAGUUUUUCUGCAACUUACUAUGGCUAUAAUAACUGCACAAAUUUCAAAAUAAUAUAUGCAAUUAAGCAUGUAGUUGAGAUGAUUCCUCAUGGCUGUUGUGUUUUUACCAUAUUUCAAACUGUUCUGAGAAAGUUGGUUAAACUGCAAACUUAUCUCGGAUACAGACACUUUUUCCAGAACAGAAGUGCUUGCUAAGAAGAAUAAAUACUUGAGUUUUG